CGGGCGGGCGGGCCGGCCGGCCGGCCGCGGGGGCGGGGGCCGCACUCACCUGGCACACAAAGGCUCCGCGCACCUCCGGAGGGAGGAGGCGCUCGCAGGGGGCAACCUUGUAAUCUGGUGACAUCAUCAACCUGUGGGCCUACACAUAAACAUCUUCCAUAAAAUAAAAGCCAGCGAGCCCAAAGAGCCAGCUAUAAAAUGCUCUGCAAGGAUGAGGAGGUGCUGGAAACAAGGCCCCGAGGGGGACCUGCCCUGAUGCUGCCAGUGUCCCACCUGCAACCUGCCUCCUGCCCCUGAGAGGCCUGACAAACAGGACUCAGAGCAGCCGAGAUCCCUUUCCUGGAUCUUAAUCUGGCACCAGCUACACACGGUGAGGCCUGGUCAAGCCUGCCUUUGUUACAGGCAGCAAAUGAACAGGUAGGCCACAGGCAAGUGAUCAGUGGCCUCUACCAUUAUGAAUAUAAAGGACUGCACAAAGCGUGGCAUGUUACCUCUACCCAAAGUUAUUCCCUUCAUUAAAGAAAAGAAUACCUCUUCAGAGGGAAAUUUGCAACUUUUGCACUGACAGAUGGAAUCCACAGUUUCUCUGAAAUGCCUGUUGCAAAUUCUGUCCUGUGACUCUGCAAGGCCCCGGCCCUCCUGAUCAGCCAGCGGCCUGCCCAGCGGAGACAAGCCCUGCACUCUCGCCACCCUGUCCUGAACGCUGUUGACAAAUAAACCCACUCUCAGGAAAGGCAAUCCCUGCUUCCAGUUCUCCAUAGCUAGUCUCCUCUCAUCUGGAAAGCGUAAUUGGCAACAGCCGAAAAGGAUAAAUAUUUAAAACUAAAUCAGGGGAUGCUAACUCCUUCCCUACUCCUCCCCUUACUCACUCUCCAAACCAGAGGCCAGCCCCCCUAGGGCUUAGCUGGCUGGUGAAUUACAAGGAUCUGAACAGAGCCAACUGGCUUCUCCCUUGCUCGCUCUCUUCCCCCACAUGCACACCCGGUCUCCAUGCUGUAUCCUUUCACUUCAGCAAAGGUAAAUAUGAUCUCUGAGCUGAGAUUCAGUGAAUGUCAGCGUUCUGACUCCUCGCUAAACCUGGGCUCUCUUUUCACAGCACAACUGGGUUUAGGCGGAUUUGUGUAUUCUUCCAGAUCCUUCUAUUUUUUAUUAAAUUAUACAUACACAUUGAUUUUGAAACUAGUGCUUAAAUAACCUUGAGGCUUUAACAAAGAAAAAAAUCGGGGGGGGGGGAGGUGAUGUGUGAAUAUUCCUGAAAUAAACAAGGAAACAUUUGGAGCUGAAUGCCCAGCUAUCACCCCAUCUUUUCUAGGCAGUUAUAUUUAUGGGCCUGGUACCUGCUGGGUGGUCAGGCCUCCUGGGUAUGGGACAGAAUGCAGGCUCUCCUGAGAACAACCCACCCUCACCUCCAUAACACACAGAUGCUCUGAUUCACAUUUCUCUGACAGAAACCUCAAGGCCCCAUCUAUCGCUAGGAUGCUAAUUCCGCAGAUUAAUUUUACCCCCAAAUUGUAGGUGGAACAUUAUCUAGCUUGCUUACCCACCCUCCCCAGCUCAUACUCUAAACCUGUCAGUGACACACAUAAGACACAAAUGAGCAAACAUUUUUUUAAGCUUUCCCAAUUUGUGUGAAGUUACAAAGCCCAGUUUAAGAAAGCAGAAAUAAAUAACUUUCCUUAAACUAGCUUUAAAAACGUUGGGUUAAAAAAGCUUGCUCUCUUUCCUUUUUUUUUUUUUUUUUUUUUUAAACAAAAUAUUAUUUCUGAAAGGGCAAAGAGAAUUUGUCAUGCAAGACUUUUAUACCCAGGGGGAUUCUUACAUUUGUGUUUCUAAACCUUGAAAUUGAGAAUUUUAAUGAAAAGGCAGACAGAUGCUUAAGGACACAGCAUCGCAAUCAAGGUCCAUACAGGGCGGGAGAGGGACGCUUUGUUUGGGGCCAGGAAGAAAAGGUGGAUCUGACACAGCCGGUGUGUGUGUGUGCACGCCCCCUGACACCCUGAAUUCUUGGAGGGGAAGCAGGUUGGAGGCAGAAGAAAGGAAAGAGGAAAGGAGAGAGGAAAGAAAGGGGGAGGGGACAUGGCUUCUUUAUAUAAAUCCUGUGUGUGUGUGUGUGUGUGUGUGUGUGUGUGUGUGUGUUUUAAAUUCUCAACACAGCAUCAAUCCCACAGUAUGUGCCAACAAUUCCCUUACACAUGCAUUAAAACAAUCAAUUAAACGAUCUACCAGGAGCACCAUAACCAAGAUCAGAAUUUUUUUUUUUAAUGAAGAAUUUCAUUUGGGUUUGCCAUUCUUUCCCAUCAAGUGACCACUUUUUUUUGGACAGGGUUCUAAGAGAUAAACAAAAGAUGACCCUUUUCACACUCUUUCCCCCCCCCCCCACACACCCCCCAAAUGAUUCUGGAAUCCCAUUUUGUUAUCUUUUCAUUUUAGCUGCAUUUUUUUGUCUGAAAUCUGCGCUAAUCUGAUUUCAGAGCUCCGAGCUGAAAUGUCACAUAUCCUCCCCAAGUCCGCCAAGCCAGUGUUUUAGAAUUUGGAUUUCUAUUGAGGCUGUUCCAAUCGCCAGCGAGGCCUACGAUAAAAAUGUGCAUCAUGCUGUUCCGUUUGUCUCUCUUCGGACAAAUAGAAACUGUGAAAUUUAAAGAAUGGAUG